rnacentral:pre_miRNA from 10 species
UGUGUGUGUGUGUGUGUGUGUGUGUGUGUGUGUGUGCUCGCAUACACUCGUGCAUGCAUGAGCGCACAC